AGCUGUUGCAAUUAUUAAUCAAUAUUAUAAAUUCAUUUAAGGAAGAGCUUAAUAAAAGUCUAAUUAAUGUGUGUUGAUAUUUAAGAUUAUUAGCCUCACGCGGAAAUUCCCCUAAAUCCAACUGUUUACUGUUUACUGUUUCCUUGGAGAUUGUAAGCACUUCAGACUUUCGUUUUCAAUUGAUAAAACAUUGGUAAUUUACCUAAGCUAGUUAAUUGUUUUUGACUUGUUAUGUUAACAUUUCAUUUAAGUAAAAAAUAAUUUACUUAUUAGUCACAAACGUUUCAAGAUACUUACCGCAAUUUCUUCAAAUUUUGAGAAAAUAUUAUCCGGGGCUAUUUUCCGCCAUAUUGAUUUACUCCAAUUUUACAGCGCAUGCGUAUUGUAAACGAACACUACUAAAUUAUCGAAAGAUUUCACAACACUAAAUAUUUCCCUACACUUUCUUUAGAAAAAAGGGUUAAGAGACUCUUUGCGAAUGAUUAUUUGAGGCAAUAUUGUGCCUUUUCUUUAUUAUGAGAAAAUAAUAGCAGGUAUAUAUCAUUUUUUUCAUUUUUUUUAUCAUCUAAUUCACGGGGAUAGGGCGUUUACCACAACUUUUCGGCGCAACGUCAAAAUAUCAUACUUCUGACCGAGACAUCGUAUAUUUCUGGACAAAAUAUUAAUGGCGGGAUAACCAAAUUGCAGUGGCAACAACAAUGAUCAGCCUGCCAUAAAAAACUUUGAGAAGAAAGAAAUUGCUGUGUUAUAUAAUGUUGCUGGUAUUUUCGGUCAAUGACUCAUCAAUAAGCCUAUCUAUUUCCGACUGAAGGUUCACAGACGAGUCUCUAUGAGAAUGCAUGGAUGUUCUGCUGUGUUUCAUGGUAACUCUCGAUACAGUCUUGCCUAUUAUAAGUGACUUAUAGAAUCAGAAAUUGAGCUGAAUUUUGUGCUAACAUAUUUUGUUGUUGUUUUUGUUUGGCUUUACGGCGCCAUGACACAACUUAGGUCAUAUGGCGCCAAACUGAAAAGAUGAUUUGUGCUUACCUAAGGAGUUACAAACUUAAAGAAAAACCCGGGAUCAAAACAACCUCACCUGUUGGAGCUAAGAGAUGCAGAUACUCUGGUCAUGCGAACCCAAUUGGUCGCCUCUUACGAUCAUGCAGGGAUGAAAGGCAGUUGCAAUUUUGAUGCCUCAACUGUCAAAGGCAAUCGACUCCUAUAAGACUCAAAAUUAGCAAUGUUUCAUAUGAUUGAUUUAAGUGAUUUAACAUAUAGAGGGUAUGUAGCUAAUUAUUGUCUAACACGCAUAUCGUUGCAAAGAAAUGCAUUAGUAUAAUUAUAUAUUAUGUUGUUUGUUUCACAUUUAGUGGCAACUGUUGUCUUGAGCCUUCAUUCAAACGUUUCACCUAUACUUAUAAGUUUUCUAAUUAGCAACCAUGUCAUUAAUUUUAGUGAUUUAACAUAUAGAGGAUAUGUAGCUAAUUAUUAACUUACAAGCACACAAGCACAUCGUUGCAAAGACAUGAAUUAAGACUAUAGUUAUAUAUUAUGUUAUUUGUUUCACGUUUAGUGGCAACUGCAAUGAUCUGCCUGCCAUAAAAAACUUUGAAAAGAAAGAAA